rnacentral:rRNA from 1 species
GUUAAGCGACUAAGCGUACACGGUGGAUGCCCUGGCAGUCAGAGGCGAUGAAGGGCGUGCUAAUCUGCGAUAAGCGCCGGUAAGGUGAUAUGAACCGUUAUAACCGGCGAUACCCGAAUGGGGAAACCCAGUGUGACUCGUCACACUAUCAUUAACUGAAUCCAUAGGUUAAUGAGGCGAACCGGGGGAACUGAAACAUCUAAGUACCCCGAGGAAAAGAAAUCAACCGAGAUUCCCCCAGUAGCGGCGAGCGAACGGGGAGGAGCCCAGAGCCUGAAUCAGCAUGUGUGUUAGUGGAAGCGUCUGGAAAGGCGCGCGAUACAGGGUGACAGCCCCGUACACAAAAGCGCAUGUGCUGUGAGCUCGAUGAGUAGGGCGGGACACGUGGUAUCCUGUCUGA